rnacentral:rRNA from 1 species
GAUGAACGCUGGCGGCGUGCUUAACACAUGCAAGUCGAACGGGAAUUAUUUUAUUGAAACUUCGGUCGAUUUAAUUUAAUUCUAGUGGCGGACGGGUGAGUAACGCGUGGGUAACCUGCCUUAUACAGGGGGAUAACAGUCAGAAAUGGCUGCUAAUACCGCAUAAGCGCACAGAGCUGCAUGGCUCAGUGUGAAAAACUCCGGUGGUAUAAGAUGGACCCGCGUUGGAUUAGCUGGUUGGUGGGGUAACGGCCCACCAAGGCGACGAUCCAUAGCCGGCCUGAGAGGGUGAACGGCCACAUUGGGACUGAGACACGGCCCAGACUCCUACGGGAAGAAGCAGUGGGGAAUAUUGCACAAUGGGGGAAACACUGAUGCAGCGACGCCGCGUGAAGGAAGAAGUAUCUCGGUAUGUAAAAUUCUAUCAGCAGGGAAGAUAGUGACGGUACCUGACUAAGAAGCCCCGGCUAACUACGUG